UGCUUUGAUUUGUGAGGGUGAGUGU
rnacentral:piRNA from 1 species